rnacentral:rRNA from 1 species
GACGAACGCUGGCGGCGUGCUUAACACAUGCAAGUCGAACGGAGUGGCGAACGGGUGAGUAACACGUGGGUGAUCUGCCUUGCACUUCGGGAUAAGCCUGGGAAACUGGGUCUAAUACCGGAUAGUGCAAGAUGAGCUGGCGGCCUAUCAGCUUGUUGGUGGGGUAAUGGCCUACCAAGGCGUGGGCGGGUGGCCGGCCUGGGAGGGGGUACGGCCACAUUGGGACUGAGGUACGGGCCAGACUGCUACGGGGGGCAGCAGUGGGGAAUAUUGCGCAAUGGGCCGAAGCCUGAUGCAGCGACGCCGCGUGGGGGAUGAAGGCUUUCGGGUUGUAAACUCCUUUCGACAGGGACGCGGUACCUGUAUAAGAAGCACCGGCUAACUACGUGCCAGCAGCCGCGGUAAUUC